GGGAAGCAAAAUCAGUUUAUACUGAAAUGACAGAACACCCCAACAAUUCCUUUAAACUACUAAACAUAUACAUUUUUUAAAUGCUACAUCAAUUCAUUUGACCUUUCCCACUUACAGAAAAUAAAAUUUAAGGAAGGAUUUUACCUAAUUUUCUUUUAUUCAAAGUAUAAUGCAAUCACAAGCAAUAUAGGAUAUAUAAGAUCCUAAAGCCAAAAUAAUAUGCAACUCAUAUUGAAAAUUAAGUAUAAAUCACGUAUAUUUCAUUCAAAUUUGACAUUAACAGUGCAUCUCUGCCAUCAACACAGAUUUGAACUGUAAUUCCUAUGCAAACCAGAAAUAUACAGCAGAAGCGUGAUAACCAUUCACUUACUGUUCAGCUAUUUUUUUCUUUUCUGCUAAAUUAUCACAGCAGUCAAUGUUAUGAUAAAAGCUAACAAAUGUAAGUUAAUAUUGUUGUCCAGCAUCUUUUAUCCCAAGAGGUGAGACAAAGACAGGUUAAGUAUCAGACAAGAGAAUAAAAUAUAUGUGCUAGUGUCAGCUUAUGCUUCAGCCAUAGCUAAGAUAUAGCUAGCUAUUCCCUGAUAAUCUACCUCCUAAUCCAACCGAGAUGAGCUGGGUGCUAUGGAAAUUAGAUGUAUUUUAUAACUGUCACCCACAUACUGAGCUGUUAGCUGAUGAGCUUUCUUCAGAAUAUUUGAUAAGACAUCAAAGAAUAGUUGUUGCCAGGUAUAAAAAGAGGGCUCAUAGCAGCAUUUAUAAAUACAUUUGGGCUGGCAGUGAUCCAUAAAUGGGUCUAUGCAUUACACAGAGACAUGGGAACUGCUGUGUCAACGUGGGCUUUCCCAUUCAGUGUUGCUGCCCCUUAUGUCUGUGGGCCACAGGACUCACAAGCCUCUGCAUGCACUCUCGUUUUACUCUAGUGCACAGACUCAGUGUCUCGCUUGUUGGCAAGCAAACAUGUUAGUUCUGCUGCGAGAAAAAGCAAGGUCGAUGGUUAUAGUAUGUGUUCAGCUGCAGCAAACUAUAGCUCUAAUCAGGUGGUCAUAGUCGAGCUGCUGCGUGGCUUCACGUUAACUGGUCAACAUGCAACAGGCCUGUCAAGGAUGGCUAACAUUAGCUAAUGUCAACUAACCAGCGGCUCGCGCGACUUUAACACGCCCUGCCAUCAAUAGUUGCUUAUGACAGAAAAUAGCCACCCAACAUCAGAGAGCCCAGUACGGUAUAAUACGACUCUACGUGCCAGUACGGCAAAUAAUCGUAGUUAGACAAAAAUUGCUUUCUAGCCAGGUGAUAAUAGCAUUAGCUAGCAGUGAUAUUCUAACAUGGCCGACAGGAAAUGGCAGCUCAGAACAUUCCAGUGGAGCCGGCUCGUUUUCCUAAACUGGACACAGGCAUGCUGAAAUGAAUAAGAGAAAGCCCUGACUACUGCUCAAGGCGACUCGCCGUGUGCGUAAAACAGAGAGGCCCUGGAGCCAGAACUCUGCGUCGUCAUGGUGAGCACCGUAGUGAUGCCCAGUCCCACUCUGGCAGGAGCCGCAUCCAUGUUGAUCCAGAACGACACCCAGGACAGGAUUACAGUGAGCAGGCUCGCAAGGACAUGGUGAAAAUGAGAAAUAUUGAGAGGAGGAAGGUGAACGAUGUCAGUCCUGAUGCUCCAGUGUCAUCCAGAGAUGCUGUGAAAAGCGAGAGAUGAAGCCCACGCCAAAAACAAGAUGUGUGAUAGCAUUCUUAGCUGGAAGAAACAACAAAUGAUGAGACCAAAGGAAAAAGAAAAAGAAAAAAAAGAGAGAUGCAAGGAACUUGUUGUUUGCUCCUCCAGCCAGACUCUGCCUUCUGCACUCAGUUGAGCCUGCCUCCCUCUCUGCAGGUGUAAAAUACAGGAGGCUGCUGCUGUAUAAUUCAAAAUCCUAGGGAAGUUUUUUUUUUUCCUUCCCGUGUUUGUGUGCACGACUUCAAGCUUUAUCUCUUUUUCAUGCCCAUAUGCAUGCUGAAGGAAUUACUGCAAGAACAUUUAAAGAGACAGAACCACUUUCGUAGCAGGGUGGCCUCACAUUGCCCAUGAUGACAGCAUCAGGUCAGCAGAAAUAUAAUGUGACAUUUACAAGAUUUUUGCUCAGAAAUAAACUAUUAAGUACGAUUUAUUCAACAAUAUAUUUUUUUAAGUGUAUCAUUGAUCAAUCACAGCUGAGUAACCGUGCAGCACUCAAAGUGAUUAUGAGCCCACAUCCACAAACUUGAAAGAAGCCAGAUAAUACAAAAUAUUUUAGUAACAAGCAUUGUCAGUAUAUAACAUCCAAUAGUGUUAACAUGUCCACAGAUCUUUGACAUAGAUUUGACCAUUUAGAUCAGCUAAGAAAAUCCAUCCAUCCAUCAUCUAUACUACUUAUCCAUAUGGAGCCUAUCCCAGCUGACAGUGGGCGAGAGGCGGGGUACACCCUGUACAGAUGGCCAGUCCAUCGCAGGGCAACUAAGAAAAUCAUUUAAAUCAAUUGAUAAAAUUAUUGUCAACAAUUAUAGAAUAAUAAUAAUCAUCACAGCAUGUUUCAAAACUACAGAUUGUAACCACAGGGUAAAGAAAAACAGAAAGGUAA